rnacentral:rRNA from 1 species
AACAAAUUCCUUCCUGGGAGACAAAAGUUUUACACAGUAGGUCUGGCGGCUGUGUGUUGGGCGAUUUGGUUGGCGCGCAACCGAGCUACCUUUGAAAAAAAGCAAAUCAAGACUCCUUUUGAGAUUGUGUUUUCUCUGUGUUCCUUUCUACUUUACUGGACAGGGCUUCAGCAAGGGGAGGACGCCAAAGAUCUUCGCUGCGGAGCCGAGAUGAUCAGGACUGGCACGAUGAAGCUGAUGAAGGUGUGUGGCGCCAUCAAGCAACCAAUCCAGGGUGCUUGA